rnacentral:pre_miRNA from 1 species
GGUACUUGAAGAGAGGUUUUCCCAGGUGCAUUCGUUUUAUUCAUGACGAAUCAUUCUUGGCCGGCCUCUUUUCAGUAUC